GGCCGGGUAGCUCAGUCGGUAGAGCAGGGGAUUGAAAAUCCCCGUGUCGGCGGUUCGAUUCCGUCCCCGGCCA
rfam:Thioalkalivibrio sp. K90mix, complete genome.